rnacentral:rRNA from 1 species
UACGUAGGGACCGAGCGUUGUCCGGAUUCAUUGGGCGUAAAGAGCUCGUAGGCGGCUGUUCAAGUCGAACGUGAAAACUCGGAGCUCAACUCCGAGCCUGCGUUCGAUACUGGACGGCUAGAGUCUGGUAGGGGGAUCUGGAAUUCCUGGUGUAGCGGUGAAAUGCGCAGAUAUCAGGAGGAACACCGGUGGCGAAGGCGGGUCUCUGGGCCGUAACUGACGCUGAGGAGCGAAAGCGUGGGGAGCGAACAGG